UACGUAGGGUGCGAGCGUUGUCCGGAAUUAUUGGGCGUAAAGGGCUCGUAGGCGGUUUGUCGCGUCGGGAGUGAAAACCCAGGGCUUAACUCUGGGCUUGCUUUCGAUACGGGCAGACUAGAGGUAUGCAGGGGAGAACGGAAUUCCUGGUGUAGCGGUGAAAUGCGCAGAUAUCAGGAGGAACACCGGUGGCGAAGGCGGUUCUCUGGGCCGUAACUGACGCUGAGGAGCGAAAGCGUGGGGAGCGAACAGG
rnacentral:rRNA from 1 species